rnacentral:rRNA from 1 species
GACGAACCGAGCGAACGUUGUUCGGAAUCACUGGGCUUAAAGGGCGCGUAGGCGGGCUGUCAAGUCUGGGGUGAAAUCCCGCGGCUCAACCGCGGAACUGCCUCAGAUACUCCCGAGCUGGAGGCAGGUAGGGGAGAUCGGAAUUCCUGGUGUAGCGGUGAAAUGCGCAGAUAUCAGGAGGAACACCGGUGGCGAAGGCGGAUCUCUGGGCCUUGCCUGACGCUGAGGCGCGAAAGCUAGGGGAGCGAACAGG